rnacentral:rRNA from 1 species
CCUACGGGAGGCAGCAGUGGGGAAUAUUGGACAAUGGGGGGAACCCUGAUCCAGCGACGCCGCGUGAGUGAAGAAGUGUUUCGGUAUGUAACGCUCUAUCAGCAGGGAAGAAAGAAAUGACGGUACCUGACUAAGAAGCCCCGGCUAACUACGUGCCAGCAGCCGCGGUAAUACGUAGGGGGCAAGCGUUAUCCGGAUUUACUGGGUGUAAAGGGAGCGUAGACGGCGAUGCAAGUCUGAAGUGAAAGGCGGGGGCUCAACCCCCGGACUGCUUUGGAAACUGUAUGGCUGGAGUGCAGGAGAGGUAAGUGGAAUUCCUAGUGUAGCGGUGAAAUGCGUAGAUAUUAGGAGGAACACCAGUGGCGAAGGCGGCUUACUGGACUGUAACUGACGUUGAGGCUCGAAAGCGUGGGGAGCAAACAGGAUUAGAUACCCGAGUAGUC